rnacentral:rRNA from 1 species
UGAAGGCCUUCUGGGUUGUAAACUUCUUUUAUCUGGGAAGAAAACUACGAUUUCUAUUGUAGCCGACGGUACCCAGAGGAAUAAGCACCGGCUAACUCCGUGGC